UCCCUGGUGGCACAGUGGGUUGUGGUGUUGCCUCACAGCAAGAGGGCUGUGGGUUCAAACCCGGCCUGGGGCC